AUUGAACGCUGGCGGCAUGCCUUACACAUGCAAGUCGAACGGCAGCACGGACUUCGGUCUGGUGGCGAGUGGCGAACGGGUGAGUAAUGUAUCGGAACGUACCUUAGAGUGGGGGAUAACGUAGCGAAAGUUACGCUAAUACCGCAUAUUCUGUGCGCAGGAAAGCAGGGGAUCGCAAGACCUUGUGCUCUUUGAGCGGCCGAUAUCAGAUUAGCUAGUUGGUGAGGUAAAAGCUCACCAAGGCGACGAUCUGUAGCGGGUCUGAGGGGAUGGUCCGCCACACUGGAACUGCGACACGGUCCAGACUCCUACGGGAGGCAGCAGUGGGGAAUUUUGGACAAUGGGGGCAACCCUGAUCCAGCCAUGCCGCGUGAGUGAAGAAGGCCUUCGGGUUGUAAAGCUCUUUCAGCCGGGAAGAAAUCGCAUAGGCUAAUACCCUGUGCGGAUGACGGUACCGGAAUAAGAAGCACCGGCUAACUACGUGCCAGCAGCCGCAGUAAUAC
rnacentral:rRNA from 1 species